CGAGUUACUCUGUCUAGCAAGGUUAAGGGUCUUAGGCCCGAAGCCGAAGGGAAACCGAGUGUGAAUAGCGCGAAUUUAGUUAGGCGGAGUAGACCCGAAAGCGAGUGAUCUAUCCAUGGGCAGGCUGAAGCGGAUGUAACAGUCCGUGGAGGGCCGAACGGCUAUAGGUUGCAAACUGUUCCGAUGACCUGUGGAUAGGAGUGAAAGGCUAAUCAAACUCGCAGAUAGCUGGUUCUCCCCGAAAUAGCUUUCGGGCUAGCCUCUGGUAAUAGUUUACGGGGGUAGAGCUACUGAAUGGGAUAGGGGCCCU
rnacentral:rRNA from 1 species